GGGGACGGGGGGGCGCGCAGCGGAAGGGAGGCGGGGGGAUUUUUCCACCUCCCACGUGACCAGAAUCUGUGCACCCGGUGCGUUGCGCACCCCCCCCUCCCCCCGUCCCCUUCGCCACUGCACUCUGGGCUGGCUCAGAUCUCGUCAGCAGUAGUUUUCCCAGUUCUGUUUGCCUUGGGCAGGGUCAGGUCUGUUGGGAUGGAAAGAGCUCCCUGCGAGGCCUUUAAAACCAUUUGCAGAAGAAAAGGGUGCGGGUAGGGAGUGGCCAAAAACUCUGGAUUUUGGGUCCUGCAGCCGGGCGAUAUCCCAACGCCUGGGGCCCUUAUCCCUCGUUCGUGGAAGUGUCUGGCUUGCAAGGCUGGGGACUUCCCAGUCUCUGUGAGGCCUCUUGUAUUUUUUUUUUUGCCCCGUAGAGCUUUUAAACAUCUGUUUAAGGAGCUUCCAGUUCCUAAGACAGCUGUGUGGUGCUGUGGCUGCUGGCUGAACUGUUCAUGCAACCAUGUUGGUGUAUUCUUUUCUCUCUUUUUUUUAAGCCCCACCUUGGAGGCUGGGCAGGUGCAGUCCCCAACUAACCCUGCGGCUGCCAGUGUGCAUUCAGCUUGUAGCCUCAAGUGAGAUUUAGUUUCCUUUCUGUACAGCCCAGAACUGUUGUUCACCUUCAGAGAUUUUGCACUUAACGGCUGGCGCCCGGCAGGGUCUGAACGUCGCAGCAACAGAUAGGCAUAUAUUUGAAGGGGAACCCCCCCCCCCCCAUCUCUUCUCCAGUUAUACUUUGCAGUUCGCCACCACUGGCCUAGGAGGACUCUUCACCCAGAAACGCAAGCCGUGGCCAGAUAUGAUUCUGCUCUCAGUACCGGUUGGCGUGGAGUGGGCAAACAGCUGCGUAACAAGGAAAAUGUCUGCCACUACCAUGUUCCCCGCCUCACCCUACCCCUAAACCAAAUUAGUUCCUAGGUGUACAGAAUUAGUAGGGGGUUUGGGGGUUUUUUUGCGCAACUCCACUAAGCGCUGACCGGGAUAAAUCCUCCACCGUGAGUCAGCUCCCUUCUCCAAGGUUAGUGGAAUGGGCCCAGACCCGGGAUGCGUCAGGGCGAGGGCUGGGCGUUUGGCCCCCGGCCGAAUAAACUCCCCAAAGAGAAAACGUAGCGCUUGAUGCCAAGUUUCCCUUCCCAAGUAGGAUAUACUAAAAGUUCUUCACGGAUGCUUUGAAGUUUUGCAUUUGGGUCUAGCUCCUUUGAACAAAAGUUGUCCAGUGUUUUGUUUUUUAAUUUUCAGGUGCCAUUUUUCUUCUGGUCAAGAGAGGGAGGAGCAGGCUUUGGUAUUUUUUUUUCAGCUGCACUAACGGAAUGUGUGCCUGCAGUUGUGUGUGUGUGUGUGUGUGUUAGAAGUUGUGGAUACCUUUUAUUUUGACUGCUUUUUUGGUCAACCCCUGCAAAAAUGUCUCGGACUGCACCGUAGGCGCCUGCAGCAAAUGAGCAGGCAACUUUCUUUCAUGUUUCUCGGUGGCAAAUUUCACCUUCUGGCUGUGACAUCAGGAAAGCUGCUGUUAAAACCCGUGCAUUGAGCUGGAAGGGGGGGGGCAACGGGGGCGAGCGUCCUAUUUUCAUUUUUGUUUCGGUCAGGUGAAUGCCUACUGGGUGACCGUCCUCUUCUCUCUUCUCCCCCUCCCAUGUAAACCAAACUUAACAUGAAUGUGAGGAAGAUAUUAUAUAUAAUAUAUCCUGCAUUAAAGCUGAGCUUGGCUUGCAUAUUAUUAAAAUUCAAUUUAAAUAUUAAAAACACUUGAGCUAUAGUGACGUAAUGCAAAGCUGAUUUCUCCCCGUCCCUCCCUCCCUUUGUCAAUAACUGAACUCCCGCAAUCCUCAAAUGUGACUUACCUGCUGGAGAAAUAGAUACCUUUUAAAAACCCUAAUAAAAUAAAAUUGUAAAAAAAAAA